CGGCGGUGGUAGGGCCGGGGUGCUCGGCCUACCCUCUCGAGGAGGGCUUACGCCCCCUCGAGCCGCAAACGGUCGUCAUGGCGGGGCCAGUAACUGGGAGGGGCGGCUGGCCGAACGCUAAGCUGGGCGGCCAGUGUGCCUAUGAAGCCUCGCCCCAUGGGGUCGGCAUAGGAGGCCAAGCCCCUCGAAGGAGGGGCCCAAGCCUCCGAACCAGCCGAACCAGGUUAGGCCCGGGAGGGAGCGGCCUUAAGGCUGGGUGCCGGCGUUCAUGGGUACCCGGGGCAGAGAGCGCCUGGCUGAACAGCUUAGCGGGAGGCGGUCCACCCUCCCGGGUCACCGCCG
rnacentral:SRP_RNA from 1 species